GAGGCGGUAUCCGUUUAAUGGAGUUGCACUCGUUGCUGUUAAGCUGUCAUUACGUGUAAUCGAAUAUUCACUUGAAAAUAUGUCGGAUUCUGCUCAGAGCCUAACGGACCGAGACAGAAGG
rfam:Bacillus xerothermodurans strain ATCC 27380 scaffold_1, whole genome shotgun sequence.